UGAGAUUAACCGGACUCUAGCAUCCAAUCGUCUACGUAUUCGUAGAAAAAGUAAAUGUUGUGGAAUUUAACGCUUUAUUGCAUCACAUCCGACUAAAAAAAAUGACCAGGGAAACAGAAGGCUGACAGACAUAUUCAUAGAAAAUAUGAAAAAGCCCUGCCUGUUGCCGUGUUGGAACUUGUAUUGACCUGUAUGAGCAUCAUACAGUGCAAAUCACCUAUGGAGUUGACCAAGUUGCUGACUUUGAGGAGAACUUGAAGAGAAGAAGAUGCAUUCCAUGACUCUUAUGUGAUAUAGAAGACAAAGAAGAGCUCUUGAGAAUGGAAAAAGAAAACUGCGAGUUUUACAGUCAAUGAACACACCUCACGACACAAGUCCAUCCUGAUUCAGUAAACUAUUCUUCUAAGGAAACACCAUGACUUAGUUAAGAUCAAGUUUUGGUGUCAGAAGACUAAUGUAACUAAAACAUUGCAAAAUUAACCUGCAAGUGUCUUAUGUGAGCCUACUGAAUAAGGAUUCAUUACUGAACAGUUGAAGGAAAAUCACUAUUAUAAUAAUUUUUAAAAAAAGAUGAUUGUGUUGUUUGGAUAACAUUGUGAUCCAUGUUUGUUGAAUAAACAACUUUGCAAAAAUGAGUUGUUCUGUGUUAAUAUUAUAAAUUUACUAAUUACUGGUAUGUCAACAUAGAUUACAGUAACACUGAACAAACUUCAAUAAAUUUUAAAGUUUCAUGCAGUUUCUGCAGUAGAAAAUGACACCUAUUGAUUUUCUGGUCCAAAGGUCACCAGGUGC